UUUCAACUUUUGUGAGCUUCUGUAUUGGGUGUUCUUUGGUACAUUACCAUCAGACAAAUUUGCCAAAGAUAUGGCAGAUAUAAGCUUAAUAACACCUAAAAUUUCGCUUUUUAAAUUUAAAAGUAGGCUGUUUAGCUGGUUAGUCUUUUAAAAAUGAAUUCAGGCUCCUGUCUUCUUAGGGACAACCUUUCUCAGUUCUUCACAGACUUGUCGCCUCUUAAUAAGUAAUGAGAAUUUGGGCAAACAGAACCCAAGACAUUCAGUAAUAGCUCGCUUCAGCACUUCUCUAUUAAAAUGCUCUCUUCUCUGGCCUGUUCCCAAAUGCCUGAAUCUCUCCCUCUCGGGCUCUACUGUCAAGUAUCUCCAGUUACUGCUAGAAAUUUGUGGCUCACUGUUAUUUUAAUAAAGAAAUUUUACUUAACAGACACUGGUGUUUCUCUUGGUCUUUUUUCUUCUCCUUAGGGUGGCUUAACAUGUUGCUCUACAGAAAAAAGAAAAGAAAAGAAAAGAAAAGAAAAGAAAAGAAAAGAAAAGAAAAGAAAAGAAAAGAAAAGAAAAGAAAAGAAAAGAAAAGAAAAGAAAAGAAGAGAAAAGGAGUAUGAUCUGUAGAAGGAUACAAAUACCUAUAAAGCAUAUAUUCAUGCUGUAAUACAGCACUUUGGGUAAAAUUCAGAGUAGUAAGAAGAAACUCUCAGUUUUAUAACUCUGGAACAAAGAUCUGAUUUUCUUCUUCAUGUCUGUAGCAGUACACUGGGUAGUCAUAGCGCUGCUCCUACAAAUACCACAGUACAAAAAGAAAUGUUCCUCUGGUGUGCCAGUAGUGCAGAAGAAAUGCGAAAGUCACCCGGCAAUUCACAACAACUUGUGGCUAAAAUUGGUUCCUUCUGUCAUUUGCGGACACUGGUCAAUAAACCUUCAAGGAUCCCUGACCCUUCAUGAUGAAAACAAAUGGAUGACCUCUAUUCUAAUUUUGUCUGGCCAUGAGGACAUACAUGAAACAAGAUAUGCAAACUUCAAGCUAUCGAGGCCCAUUGUUCCUGGGCCUGUGACCACUUGGCACUCACUGUUACGUAAAACCUCUCUGGAAUAG
rnacentral:lncRNA from 1 species